CGGAGGGUGCAAGCGUUAUCCGGAUUCACUGGGUUUAAAGGGUGCGUAGGUGGGUCUGUAAGUCAGUGGUGAAAUCCCCGGGCUUAACUUGGGAACUGCCGUUGAUACUAUAGAUCUUGAAUAUCGUGGAGGUAAGCGGAAUAUGUCAUGUAGCGGUGAAAUGCUUAGAUAUGACAUAGAACACCAAUUGCGAAGGCAGCUUACUACACGAUCAUUGACACUGAGGCACGAAAGCGUGGGGAGCAAACAGGAUUAGAUACCCUGGUAGUCCACGCCCUAAACUAUGGAUACUCGACAUCAGCGAUACACAGUUGGUGUCUGAGCGAAAAGCAUUAAGUAUCCCACCUGGGAAGUACGAUCGCAAGAUUG
rnacentral:rRNA from 1 species